GAUUAUAAGACUGAAUUGAAUUAUCUGCUGCUGAUAACCUGGAUCAUGUGUGUUGAGCCAAUGAGGAGCUUCAACAGCAGAAAACAUGUAGGACACCGGCCCUCGAGGCCACACAUUUUUGACGAGCAGCGAAUUUGUCGCGUGAAUUGCGUUUGGUGUGAGAAUGUGAUCAUACUCGUGUUCAAGAAUCCAGAGCGUUCUUGAACGUCCCUCACACGCCUCAUUGUUUAACCAAAGUUUGAAAUAUUUUAUUUCUUUUAAGUGGAAUCUCUUUACAAGUUUUAAACAAACAGGAAGUCGUUUCCACACCAGCUGAUGCUGAAACCAUCCGUCUUACUUCUGCCGCUCUGCAGGUUGUGUUCACUGACUGCCUCUUCUUCCACACUCCCUCCUUUCAUAACAUCCCGGUGUUUUUCCAUUGUCAAGGUUGGAUGGAUGAAGCUCGGACCAUGAAAGUUUGAAUGGGAACAUUAUGUCCAGCAGUACUGCGCUCCUCCAGGCAAAAAAAGGCUGAAUAAAUCACAGAACGCUGCUGCUGCUGAAACCUCCACUAAAAAAGGGAGCAAAAGCAAAGCUGGACCACGAAGCGUCAGCGUUUGAUGUGAAGCUGCUGGGACAUGACCCAACCGCACUGACAUCACACAGAUAUACUCGUGUCCCAAUCGAGCGGAGCUUUUCCCUCCCUUCAUCCAAGACAAACACAUAAAGAGUGAGGACUUUGCAGGAUAAAGACCCCAUGCCAAGCAGGCAGAGAUGAGUUCAACCCAAACACGACUCAGAGCUGUUUUAUCUGUCAGAGGUCUGGACCCUGGAACCAGCACUCGACCCAAAACUGCUGGUGGUGGAGAUCCGUCAUGAUCUCAUGUCAGAAGGUUGGAGGGAAACUUGGUGAAAAACUGAGGAACACUUCGAUAAAACAGCAGAAAUUUGAGGGGAUUGGAUUUAAAGCCUACCAGCCCGGAGAACUCGUGGCUCAUGGUCACAAACGCAACAGCUGUGAGGUUGGCCUCCGCUAACCUCUGCGUGUUCGUUGAUGAGAAGAAAGUGAAAGACCCAAUCGGAAUUUAUUCAGAUUAAUAAAAGUUGUAUCAGGCUUGUACAGACAUCUCGGGGCUGCAAGGACAGAUUAA